GCGAGUGUGGCGAAGUGGUUAACGCAUCGGAUUGUGGUUCCGACACGCGUGGGUUCGAUUCCCAUCUCUCGCCCUA
rnacentral:tRNA from 1 species